rnacentral:rRNA from 1 species
AUAUCAGUCAUGCAUAGCAUAUCAAUAAGCGGAGGAAAAGAAACUAACAAGGAUUCCCUUAGUAACGGCGAGUGAAGCGGGAAGAGCUCAAAUUUGAAAUCUUCAAGGUUUUACCUUGACGAAUUGUAGUUUAAAGAAGUGUUUUCUGUUGAAGUUUUGGUAAAAGUUCUUUGGAAUAGGACAUCAUAGAGGGUGAGAAUCCCGUAUUUGACCAUUACUUUCAGCUUUGUGAUACACUUUCAAAGAGUCGGAUUGUUUGGGAAUGCAGUCCAAAAUGGGUGGUAAAUUUCAUCUAAAGCUAAAUAUUGGCGAGAGACCGAUAGCGAACAAGUACCGUGAGGGAAAGAUGAAAAGGACUUUGAAAAGAGAGUUAAACAGUACGUGAAAUUGUCAAAGGGGAAGCGUUUGACACCAGUGUUGUUUUCUCGAAAAUCAAUUAAAAAGAGUUGGAUUUUGUGUUGUAUUGACUUUAUCAGCUUUCUUCACUCUUUUCCAGCUUUUUUUAAUGCACUUUUCGUUUAACAAGUCAACAUCAGUUUCUUUUGUUGUAAAAAGGUCAUUGGAAGGUGGCUUUCUCUUCGGAGAAAGUGUUUAUAGCCUUUGACUCAUGCAAUCGGAGAGACUGAGGUCUGCAGCGUAGAUCCUUCGGGGUUAGAUACAUUUGUGCUAAGUUAUAGCUUUUCAUAGACAACUUGUUGACUAUGUUUAGUCUUGUAGCUUACUCGCUUAUGCUAUUUUACCUACGCUUAGGAUGUUGAACUCUAUCACACACAG